GACGAAGGGGGCUAGCGUUGUUCGGAAUUACUGGGCGUAAAGCGCGUGUAGGCGGUUGUCCAAGUUGGAUGUGAAAGCCUUGAGCUUAACUCAAGAAAUGCAUUCAGGACUGGAUGACUAGAGGACCGGAGAGGAUAGUGGAAUUCCCAGUGUAGUGGUGAAAUACGUAGAGAUUGGGAAGAACACCAGUGGCGAAGGCGGCUAUCUGGACGGUUUCUGACGCUAAGACGCGAAAGUGUGGGGAGCAAACAGG
rnacentral:rRNA from 1 species